GAUGAACGCUGGCGGCGUGCCUAAUACAUGCAAGUCGAGCGAACAGACGAGAGUGCUUGCACUCUCUGACGUUAGCGGCGGACGGGUGAGUAACACGUGGGUAACCUACCUAUAAGACUGGGAUAACUUCGGGAAACCGGAGCUAAUACCGGAUAAUAUUUAGCUUCGCAUGAAACAAUAGUGAAAGACGGUUCUGCUGUCACUUAUAGAUGGACCCGCGGGGUAUUAGCUAGUUGGUGAGGUAACGGCUCACCAAGGCCACGAUCCAUAGCCGACCUGAGAGGGUGAUCGGCCACACUGGGACUGAGACACGGCCCAGACUCCUACGGGAGGCAGCAGUAGGGAAUCUUCCGCAAUGGACGAAAGUCUGACGGAGCAAUGCCGCGUGAGUGAAGAAGGUUUUCGGAUCGUAAAACUCUGUUGUAAGGGAAGAACAAGUACGUUAGUAACUGAACGUACCUUGACGGUACCUUAACAGAAAGCCACGGCUAACUACGUG
rnacentral:rRNA from 1 species